GGACCCGCACAAGCGGUGGAGUAUGUGGUUUAAUUCGAUGCAACACGAAGAACCUUACCAGGGUUUGAAAUCAUUUCAAAACUCCUUGAAAGAGGAGCCUCCUUCGGGAUGAAAUGACAGGUGGUGCAUGGCUGUCGUCAGCUCGUGUUGUGAAAUGUCGAGUUAAGUCUCGUAACGAGCGCAACCCAUGUCUCUUGUUGCUCACUGAGUGCUUAAGAGAGACUGCCGACCAACAUCGGAGGAAGGUGUGGAUGAUGUCAAGUCAGCAUGCCCCUUACAUCCUGGGCUACACACGUACUACAAUGGUAGGGACAAUGAGCUGCGAUCCUGCGAAGGCUAGCCAAUCUCAAAAACCCUAUCUCAGUUCGGAUUGUACUCUGCAACUCGAGUACAUGAAGGUGGAAUCGCUAGUAAUCGCUGGUC
rnacentral:rRNA from 1 species